rnacentral:rRNA from 1 species
AUGAACGCUGCCAGAAUGCUUAACACAUGCAAGUCAACUUGAAUUUGGGUUUUUAACUUCGGUUUGGGUGGCGGACGGGUGAGUAACGCGUAAAGAACUUGCCUCACAGCUAGGGACAACAUUUGGAAACGAAUGCUAAUACCUAAUAUUAUGAUAAUAGGGCAUCCUAUAAUUAUGAAAGCUAUAAGCGCUGUGAGAGAGCUUUGCGUCCCAUUAGCUAGUUGGAGAGGUAACGGCUCACCAAGGCGAUGAUGGGUAGCCGGCCUGAGAGGGUGAUCGGCCACAAGGGGACUGAGACACGGCCCUUACUCCUACGGGAGGCAGCAGUGGGGAAUAUUGGACAAUGGACCAAGAGUCUGAUCCAGCAAUUCUGUGUGCACGAUGAAGUUUUUCGGAAUGUAAAGUGCUUUCAGUUGGGAAGAAAGAAAUGACGGUACCAACAGAAGAAGUGACGGCUAAAUACGUG